CCUACGGGCGGCAGCAGUGGGGAAUAUUGGACAAUGGGGGCAACCCUGAUCCAGCCAUGCCGCGUGUGUGAAGAAGGCCCUCGGGUUGUAAAGCACUUUCAGUGAGGAAGAACGCCUGGUGGUUAAUACCCAUCAGGAAAGACAUCACUCACAGAAGAAGCACCGGCUAACUCCGUGCCAGCAGCCGCGGUAAUACGGAGGGUGCGAGCGUUAAUCGGAAUUACUGGGCGUAAAGCGCGCGUAGGUGGCUUGAUAAGCCGGUUGUGAAAGCCCCGGGCUCAACCUGGGAACGGCAUCCGGAACUGUCAAGCUAGAGUGCAGGAGAGGAAGGUAGAAUUCCCGGUGUAGCGGUGAAAUGCGUAGAGAUCGGGAGGAAUACCAGUGGCGAAGGCGGCCUUCUGGACUGACACUGACACUGAGGUGCGAAAGCGUGGGUAGCAAACAGGAUUAGAUAUCCCUGUAGUC
rnacentral:rRNA from 1 species